AAACACAUUCUCUGAGACUCUUCCUGUGUGCCUGUGUGUCUGUCUCUCUGUGCAUCUCUGUCUCUGUCUCUGUCUCUGUCUCUGUCUCUGACUCCCUCUCUCUGUCAGGAAUAUUGCAGCAUGACUGGGAAGCCUGUCCUUCAUUACUUCAAUUGAAGAAGAAGAAUGGAGUCCAUCCGGUGGCUCCUGGCAGCAGCUGGAGUAGAGUUUGAGGAAGAACUUUUUGAAACCCAUGAAGAGUUUGAGAAGUUAAUCCAAGGUGGAACCCUGAUGUACGAGCAAGUGCCCAUGGUGGAAAUCGAUGGAAUGACUUUGGUGCAGACCAGUGCCAUCUUAAGAUAUGUAGCUGCAAAAUAUGACUUGUAUGGAAGGAACCUGGAGGAACAAGCCUGAAGAGAAGGAGAUGAACCUUGAAUACAUCCUCCACCGAGCUACAACAAGAUUCUUCCCCGUUUAUGAGAAGAUCCCAGCUCCAGUCAACAAGAGGAAGCAUUCUUAUCUUCUGAGCCAUCUUUCCACCUCUACUGAACUCUCCUGGAUUCUAUUUUCUUUUUAAGGACUUUAAGUGUAGCUCCAGUACUAUUCAUGGUCCUGGUAUAGUCAGUUACC
rnacentral:lncRNA from 1 species